CAGCAGCCACGGUAAUACAGAGGGUGCGAGCGUUAAUCGGAUUUACUGGGCGUAAAGCGUGCGUAGGCGGCUAAUUGAGUCGGAUGUGAAAUCCCCGAGCUUAACUUGGGAAUUGCAUUCGAUACUGGUUAGCUAGAGUGUGGGAGAGGAUGGUAGAAUUCCAGGUGUAGCGGUGAAAUGCGUAGAGAUCUGGAGGAAUACCGAUGGCGAAGGCAGCCAUCUGGCCUAACACUGACGCUGAGGUACGAAAGCAUGGGGAGCAAACAGGAUUAGAUACCCGUGUAGUCCCUGUCUCUUAUAC
rnacentral:rRNA from 1 species